rnacentral:rRNA from 1 species
GUGGGGAAUAUUGGACAAUGGGGGGAACCCUGAUCCAGCCAUGCCGCGUGUGUGAAGAAGGCCUUUUGGUUGUAAAGCACUUUAAGCGAGGAGGAGGCUACCGAGAUUAAUACUCUUGGAUAGUGGACGUUACUCGCAGAAUAAGCACCGGCUAACUCUGUGCCAGCAGCCGCGGUAAUACAGAGGGUGCAAGCGUUAAUCGGAUUUACUGGGCGUAAAGCGCGCGUAGGUGGCCAAUUAAGUCAAAUGUGAAAUCCCCGAGCUUAACUUGGGAAUUGCAUUCGAUACUGGUUGGCUAGAGUAUGGGAGAGGAUGGUAGAAUUCCAGGUGUAGCGGUGAAAUGCGUAGAGAUCUGGAGGAAUACCGAUGGCGAAGGCAGCCAUCUGGCCUAAUACUGACGCUGAGGUACGAAAGCAUGGGGAGCAAACAGGAUUAGAUACCCGAGUAGUCC